rnacentral:lncRNA from 1 species
ACACUAGUCUAACAACCCAAACACACGUGCCCUCGGCACAGUCUGAUGCAAAAACAGCAAUCCGGAUCCACCGUCAACCUCAACGGCACCCAACAGACCAGAACAGCCUAAAUACUGCUGUAAAAAUAAGCUCGGCAUUUCAGUACGAGCGUAAAUGCAUUCUACCCUAUCCUGAGUAUCCACCGUCCACCACCUGCAGCGAUACCAACAAACUACGGCUCCUAGAGCUAAAUCUGGUAAUUUAAGCAUAUGACAAGGUAGAAUCGCUGGUUUUCUCCUAAGUCAAAUCCAAGUCCAAUAUGUAUUAUUUAUCUAAUUCAUUUCAGC